rnacentral:tRNA from 1 species
GGGGCUGUCGGCUAGCCAGGUCUAGAAGGCUUAUGUUAAGAAGCCUGGACUGGCCGCGUGGCUUGGGAGCUCAUCCAUGCCGGGAGCCCACGAAAUCGCCGGUUCAAAUCCGGCCAGCCCCA